AAGACGAUGAGUGAUAAUUUCGGCAUUGACUGUUCGGUGACCCGGUGUCAGAUGAGAGGCAAGGUUUAUCCUCGUCUCUACAUCAGAUCGAAGUCGGCAAGAAAAUUUCUAGAGAUUGUUAAACCUUUUAUUCAGCCUGUGUUUAUGUACAAGGUUGGAGUAGGAUCGGCCAGCAGUAGCGGUAAUACGUAGGCCCCGAGCGUUAUCCGGAAUUAUUGGGCGUAAAGUGCGCGUAGGUGUUUUUGUAAGUCGGUCGUUAAAUCUUCGAGCUUAACUCGGAGACCGCGAGCGAUACUACAAGAAUUGAGUUUUGCAGGGGCUAGCAGAAUUUCUGGAGUAGGGGUGAAAUCCGUUGAUACCAGAAGGAAUACCAAUGGCGAAGGCAGCUAGCUGGGCAAUAACUGACACUGAGAGCGCGAAAGCGUGGGGAGCAACCGGGAUUAGAUACCCCGUUAGUCCACGCCCUAAACUAUGUCUACUAGCGAUAGGAAGAGUCGACCCUUUCUGUCGCGAAGCUAACGCGUCAAGUAGACCGCCUGGGAAGUACGAUCGCAAGAUUAAAACUCAAAUGAAUUGGCGGGGGCUCGCACAAGUGGUGGAGCAUGUGGUUUAAUUCGACAGUAAGCGAGCGUGAGCUGUGAGGUUAAGUCCUUAAACGAACGAAACCCUUGUCCUAUGUUGGAUUUUCAUAGGAGACUGCCCUGGUAACAGGGAGGAAGGUGGGGAUGACGUCAGAUCCGCGUGGUCUUUAUGUCUGGGGCUACACACGUGCUACAAUCCUAUCGACAAUGGGUUGCCAAGUCGCAAGACGGAGCUAAUCCCAUCAAAAGAUAGGUCAGUUCGGAUUGGAGUCUGCAACUCGACUCCAUGAAGCCGGAAUCACUAGUAAUCGUGGAUCAGCAUGCCACGGUGAAUACGUUCUCGAGCCUUGCACACAACAAUAACUGCGCCAGGUAGUGUAUUUUUCAAGGGGGUUAAAAUCCCUCUCUG
rnacentral:rRNA from 1 species